rnacentral:rRNA from 1 species
UACGAAGGGGGCUAGCGUUGCUCGGAAUCACUGGGCGUAAAGGGUGCGUAGGCGGGUCUUUUAAGUCAGGGGUGAAAUCCUGGAGCUCAACUCCAGAACUGCCUUUGAUACUGAAGAUCUUGAGUUCGGGAGAGGUGAGUGGAACUGCGAGUGUAGAGGUGAAAUUCGUAGAUAUUCGCAAGAACACCAGUGGCGAAGGCGGCUCACUGGCCCGGUACUGACGCUGAGGCGCGAAAGCUAGGGUAGCAAAC